GACGUAGGGGGCUAGCGUUGUCCGGAAUCAUUGGGCGUAAAGAGCGCGUAGGCGGCCAGAUAAGUCCGGUGUGAAAGUCAAAGGCUCAACCUUUGAAUGCCGCUGGAAACUGUCUGGCUAGAGUCCGGGAGGGGCGAGUGGAAUUCCUGGUGUAGCGGUGAAAUGCGCAGAUAUCAGGAAGAACACCCGUGGCGAAAGCGGCUCUCUAGAACGGUACUGACGCUGAGGAGCGAAAGCGUGGGGAGCGAACAGG
rnacentral:rRNA from 1 species